rnacentral:lncRNA from 1 species
CCCAAAGUGCUAGGAUUACAGUCGUGAACCACCACGCCCAGCCUACUUAUUUAUUUUGGAGACAGGGUCUCACUUUGUCACCCAGGCUGGAGUGCAUGGCAACAUCAUGACUCACUGCAGCCUUGACCUACUAGGCUCAAGGGAUCCUCCCACCUCAGCCUCCUGAGUAGGUGGGACCACAACUGGAACCAGAGGUAUGCACCACACUCAGCUAAUUCUUUAUUUUAUUCAUUAAUUUUUUUGUAGAGAUGAGGACUCACUAUAUUGCCCAGGCUGGUCUUGAACUCCUGGGCUCAGGCAAUUCUCACGCCUUAGCCUCCCAAAGUGCUGGGAUUACAGGUGUGAGCCACUGCACCCAGCCCAGGGAUUUU